UGAUAAACCCUGUCAUAGUGGAGCAAGUUCAGGUGUUUAACCGCUGUUAUGGGGGAUCUGCCUUUUCUCCCUCUUCUUUCUUACUUCCAUAAGUAUGUAUGUGCAGAGAUUGAAAAAUAACCUUGAGAGAGUCCAUCCAUCUAACUCCAGGCUGGAGUGCAGUGGCGUGAUUUUGGCUCACUGUAUCCUUCGCCUCCCUGGCUCAAGUGAUUCUCCUGCCUCAGCCUCCCAAGUAGCUUGGAUUACAGAGGUUGUUGGCUUCCAUCAGGGGUGGUCAUUUCCAAUCAGACACCUAAGAACUCCUGCUAAUGGGCAAUGAUGGAGGCACAUUCUAGAUGGAGGCACAUUCUAGAAACGCUUGAAACUGUGUGUUGCUUUGGACA
rnacentral:lncRNA from 1 species